rnacentral:misc_RNA from 1 species
AAUUUCUCAACCAUGUCUUGAUCGAUUUCGAGCACAUGGCUUGGACUUGGGGGUUGCUGGCAGCCUUGACUGUCGGCUCUCCUGAAAUGCAUUAGCAAUGGGUUGCUAGUCCUUGGAUGUGCACGGCCUUUGACGUGAUAAUGAUCGUCGUGGCUGGAGCAUCUCGGACCAUGCAUGAAUGGCUUGUUGCUUCUAACUUGAAGAUCCCUCGUCUUGUCUGGAGUCGAGCUUAGCUACUAGCUUGGCCACAAGGCUGGUGAACGCGGCACGAUGGUUAUAUAGCGGACACGAAGGCUUGGGUUCUUUCUUCGAAAC